rnacentral:lncRNA from 1 species
GAUACUGGAUGCCACUCAAUGGUCUUAUACCUGUCUCCUAAAACAAGUAAGGAUAUCAGAAGCCACUCUAUGGACUUACACUAAUCUCCAUCAGAAUAAAACAAAAAACAAAACAGGGAAAUCAACUGCCAAUCUAUCUGGACUUAUGUUAACCUCCACAGUAUGAUCCUAGGAAUACAAAUGCCACAUCACAGGGACUUACAAUGAAUCCUCACAUACAA